CCUACGGGAGGCAGCAGUGGGGAAUCUUGCGCAAUGGGCGAAAGCCUGACGCAGCGACGCCGCGUGAGGGAUGAAGGUCUUCGGAUCGUAAACCCCUGUCAGCAGGGAAGAACGGUCACUGUGCUAAUCAGCAGUGAAUUGACGGUACCUGCAAAGGAAGCACCGGCUAACUCCGUGCCAGCAGCCGCGGUAAUACGGAGGGUGCGAGCGUUAUUCGGAAUUAAUGGGCGUAAAGCGCUCGUAGGCGGUAUGUCAAGUCAAGGGUGAAAUCCCUGGGCUCAACGUGGGAACUGCAUUUGAAACUGGCAAACUGGAGUGUGGGAGAGGAUAGUGGAAUUCCAGGUGUAGGAGUGAAAUCCGUAGAUAUCUGGAGGAACAUCAGUGGCGAAGGCGACUAUCUGGCACAUAACUGACGCUGAGGAGCGAAAGCGUGGGUAGCAAACAGGAUUAGAUACCCUUGUAGUC
rnacentral:rRNA from 1 species